rnacentral:rRNA from 1 species
CACACGACUCUCGGCAACGGAUAUCUCGGCUCUCGCAUCGAUGAAGAACGUAGCGAAAUGCGAUACCUGGUGUGAAUUGCAGAAUCCCGCGAACCAUCGAGUCUUUGAACGCAAGUUGCGCCCGAGGCCAUCCGGCCGAGGGCACGCCNGCCUGGGNGUCACG